rnacentral:rRNA from 1 species
ACAUAAGAAAAGCUUGCUUUUCUUGAUGACGAGUGGCGGACGGGUGAGUAAGAUUUGGGAAACUACCUGAUAGAGGGGGACAACAGUUGGAAACGACUGCUAAUACCGCAUACAGCCUUAGGGUGAAAGAAGAAAUUCGCUAUCAGAUGUGCCCAAACGGGAUUAGCUAGUAGGUGAGGUAAAGGCUCACCUAGGCGACGAUCUCUAGCUGGUCUGAGAGGAUGAUCAGCCACAUUGGGACUGAGACACGGCCCAGACUCCUACGGGAGGCAGCAGUAGGGAAUAUUGCACAAUGGAGGAAACUCUGAUGCAGCCAUGCCGCGUGUGUGAAGAAGGCCUUCGGGUUGUAAAGCACUUUCGGAGGGGAGGAAGUAAAUGACGUUACCCUC